ACAAAUCAGUACGCAGUCUUUAUUGGUUAUUCUUAGGGAAAAAUGAGUGAUGAAUAUGUUUUUUGUUUCUCGUGGAAAUCAAAAAAAAUGAAGAACACAUUUCGCGGCUAAUUCGCCUUUAAAUUCUCCAUUUACAAUUUACUAUGUAAUAAUCCCUUGUUAUUCUCUGUAAGCGAACAUAAGCAUAAAAAAUGAUCACUAACAAGCAAAUGCGAGAAACGAUAAACAUAAAUAACUAACUUAAUAGGUAAAUAAUAAAAUAAAUAAACAAACAAACAAAAGCAUACACCAAGCAAAUCUGACACUCUUAAUUACGUCAAUCAAAAGUUUCUUAGUCGUAGAGGAUCAACUAACACCAUCAGCGACGCAAUUUCAGCGUAUGAUACACAGAAAAAGGCGCAAUGUAUCAAAUCCUCACCAUCCUUAUGUUUGCAUAUCUUGCAUAUGUAGAGUGCGAUGAAGUUUGCACUGCUGACUGGAAUUACAAAGGGGGGAAACUCAAUGG